GAUGAACGCUGGCGGCGUGCCUAACACAUGCAAGUCGAACGGAAAGACCCUGAUCUUGUGCGGUGCUCGAGUGGCGAACGCGUGAGUAACACGCGUGUAACCUGCCCUUGUCUUUCGGAUAACUUCACGAAACUCGAGCUAAUAUCCGAUAGGAGCUCCUGCUGCGUGGGGGGGGUUGGAAAGUGUCGGCGGUUGGGGAUGGACUCGCGGCUUAUCAGCUUGUUGGUGGGGUAGUGGCUUACCAAGGCUACGACGGAUAGGCGACAUGGGAGGGUUGCCGGCGACAUGAGUACUACGAGACGGCCCAGUCGCGUACGGGAGGCAGCAGUCGGAAGUAUGACACAGUGGGCGGGAGCCUGAGGCGGCGGCGCCGCGUGCGGAAUGACGGCUUUCGGGUUGUGAACCGCUGUCGCCUGUGACGAAGCGGGAGUGACGGUAAUGAAUAAAGAAGCACCGGCUAACUACGUG
rnacentral:rRNA from 1 species